AGGGCGCCGACGGUGGCAGACAUCCGCUGUUGCGAUCGGUCACGUGCGCGGCCGUUACGCGCUCUUCUGAGACAGUCAUCACUGCUGUCCCUGCUGGUUUAGCAGCCUACUCGGGGAGCCCUCGCCAGCCGACUGCUUUGGGGCAAGACAGUGCCUUCGUCAUUCCUGUGCGAGAACGGAUUGCAUUCUAUGGACACGCGCGGCCUACUGUGGCAUCCACUUCAGACGACGGCAGGUGAUCGUCAUCCUUUGUAGAAACCAAAUCGACAUUGAGCAAACGACGAAGUCCACAUUGAACAAAUGAGCAAGUCGACAUUGAGCAAUGGUGACCGUGAACGGCCAGAGAGGAAGCCCGAAGCUAUUGCGGGCGCCUACUGCUACAUACGCUUCUGCUGAUUGCUGAGUCAUGGUUGCUUCGAAGCAAGACGAGUCGAUGCUGAGCAAAGGAGCCCAGAGCUGCCGAAAUGGACAUCGGGGGUCUAGAAGCCUACUCGGGAGAGCCCUCGCCAGCCGACUGCUGUGGGCCAAGACACAAUGCCUUCGUCAUUCCUGUCUGCGGACGUAACGCCACAUACGGCCGUGUGCGGUCUACUGUGGCAUCCACACAAGCCGAUGGUUGGUGGUCGUGAUCUUUCUGCAGACAUCGAGUCGACACUGAGCAAUGGAGUUCGAACUCACCUAGAGUGAGAGCGGACGCUAUUGCAGCGCCUACUGCUACAUACGCUUCUGCUGAUUGCUGAGUCAUGGUUUCAUCGGACAAGACGAGUCGACGCUGAGCAAAGGAGCCCACAGCUGUUGAGGCCAACAUAACUGAAUUCCCUGUGCGGCUUCGGAUGUCGUGGAAUGUCAGCAUCGCAUUCCAGAUAGGGGGCUGCAAAGGGUUUAGCAGCCUACUCGGAGAGCCCUCGCCAGCCGACUGCUGCGGGCCAAGACACAGUGCCUUCGUCAUUGCCGCCGGCUGGCAUAAC
rnacentral:misc_RNA from 1 species